rnacentral:lncRNA from 1 species
GAUAACUUCCCAGAAGUUUAGCUUGACUGCUGGGAAGUUGUGUGUGGAGCAGGCAGCUGUGAUAGGACAUGAACUAAUGCCUCCUGGCACCUACUGUUAAUAUCCAGAGUCUCUUAGAUUCUAUCAAAGAAAUCUGUUUACCUAAGAGACCUCUGUAUUGUCUGUUUUUACCUACUCAGUGGUCCAGAUUCCUGAAGACACUUUUAAAGCAAGGGAAAUCCAGAAAGGGUUUGUUUGUUAAAUACAUCUCCACCCUCAGUUUUCAAUCUUUGGGGGGUAAAAGAGCUGCAGAAAAAGGAAUACAAAGAGGACCAGAGUCGCAGACAGUAGGGCUAGAGAUGAGAUGCUAGGCCAGAUAUGGAAUUCGUUAUUCUCCUAU